GGUAUAGCUCAGUGGUAGAGUACCUGCUUAGAAUGCUUGAAGCCCUGGGUUUGAUCUCCAGCACCA
rnacentral:tRNA from 1 species